UCUGUUUCAAUUGAGAACUGAAGUUAGAACAAUGAAAAUAGGUUUAAAACUUCAUCUGAGAAGAAGUGUUUUUUUUAGUCACAAUUUUGUUAAGAUUUAUGUAUACCUUGCUUGCAUUGGGAACUAGCUUCUGCAGAGCUUUCAUCUUUUGGUUGAUGCGGUCUCUUCGUCUCUAUAAAAGCAAGUGAAAUGACUAUCAAUAUUAGAUUUGGUUGGUCGAGAGUAAUCAUAUAUUCAUGAGGUUUGGUGGAAGGGACCCGUAAAACAAGUGAUUGUGACCUAGAAUUCUAGAAGUAUAUAAUUAUAUAUUUUGGCAAACCUAGUAAGAAGUACUUGUUUAUGGUGUCAACUUAAUGUACUUUAAUACUUUUCUAAGCAUGGGUAAAGUGUUUAUUAUUACUUAUUA